GACGAACGCUGGCGGCGUGCUUAACACAUGCAAGUCGAACGGAAAGGCCCUGCUUUUGUGGGGUGCUCGAGUAGCGAACGGGUGAGUAACACGUGAGUAACCUGCCCUUGACUUUGGGAUAACUUCAGGAAACUGGGGCUAAUACCGGAUAGGAGCUCCUGCUGCAUGGUGGGGGUUGGAAAGUUUCGGCGGUUGGGGAUGGACUCGCGGCUUAUCAGCUUGUUGGUGGGGUAGUGGCUUACCAAGGCUUUGACGGGUAGCCGGCCUGAGAGGGUGACCGGCCACAUUGGGACUGAGAUACGGCCCAGACUCCUACGGGAGGCAGCAGUGGGGAAUAUUGCACAAUGGGCGGAAGCCUGAUGCAGCAACGCCGCGUGCGGGAUGACGGCCUUCGGGUUGUAAACCGCUUUCGCCUGUGACGAAGCGUGAGUGACGGUAAUGGGUAAAGAAGCACCGGCUAACUACGUGCCAGCAGCCGCGGUGAUACGUAGGGUGCGAGCGUUGUCCGGAUUUAUUGGGCGUAAAGGGCUCGUAGGUGGUUGAUCGCGUCGGAAGUGUAAUCUUGGGGCUUAACCCUGAGCGUGCUUUCGAUACGGGUUGACUUGAGGAAGGUAGGGGAGAAUGGAAUUCCUGGUGGAGCGGUGGAAUGCGCAGAUAUCAGGAGGAACACCAGUGGCGAAGGCGGUUCUCUGGGCCUUUCCUGACGCUGAGGAGCGAAAGCGUGGGGAGCGAACAGGCUUAGAUACCCUGGUAGUCCACGCUGUAAACGGUGGGUACUAGGUGUGGGGUCCAUUCCACGGGUUCCGUGCCGUAGCUAACGCUUUAAGUACCCCGCCUGGGGAGUACGGCCGCAAGGCUAAAACUCAAAGGAAUUGACGGGGCCCCGCACAAGCGGCGGAGCAUGCGGAUUAAUUCGAUGCAACGCGUAGAACCUUACCUGGGUUUGACAUGGAUCGGGAGUGCUCAGAGAUGGGUGUGCCUCUUUUGGGGUCGGUUCACAGGUGGUGCAUGGCUGUCGUCAGCUCGUGUCGUGAGAUGUUGGGUUAAGUCCCGCAACGAGCGCAACCCUUGUUCACUGUUGCCAGCACGUUAUGGUGGGGACUCAGUGGAGACCGCCGGGGUCAACUCGGAGGAAGGUGGGGAUGACGUCAAGUCAUCAUGCCCCUUAUGUCCAGGGCUUCACGCAUGCUACAAUGGCUGGUACAGAGAGUGGCGAGCCUGUGAGGGUGAGCGAAUCUCGGAAAGCCGGUCUCAGUUCGGAUUGGGGUCUGCAACUCGACCUCAUGAAGUCGGAGUCGCUAGUAAUCGCAGAUCAGCAACGCUGCGGUGAAUACGUUCCCGGG
rnacentral:rRNA from 1 species